AUCCCCAGCAGGAUUCCCAAUAGUGCAGAGGAAAAACUGUGAAGUAAUCAGCAUUCCAAAAAUCCCACAGCGGACUCUGGAGGGAAGCACGCAAACAAAUAAGUUGUGCUGUCAGAGAUGAUCCGGUGUCCUGGGGGAUUUUAAAGCUGUUCUUUUAGUGAAAAAUGUGACUGGCAAGAAGUUUGCUUUUUACUACCUUCAAGUUUCCCUCCUUCCUUUGGCCACCAGUCCAUCACGAAGCACGCAGAGCCCUCGGAUGCUGCCAAAGCACACAAGUUAUACAAGCGGGCAUGUCGCGGGCUGACUCGGUGACUCAGGGCUUGGCAACUGCCCUACAAACAGAGCUACUGAGUUGGGUUGGGAUCUGGGGAACCACAGGACUCUCCUGCUUGCACAGCUCGCUUGCAAAGCUCGGCUCUGGAGAAUUACUAGAGAGUGAAAACGUGACCAAAACGUGUGAAUUGCUAACUGAGUCGACAAAUUCGAGGAGGGUUUAGAAAUCUGAUGGACUCCAGCUCCUGCGCCAGACAUCACUGUCACCGCUGCUGGUCACCUAAAAAAACCCCCAACCUCCAAUGUCGGGCAGAUAUUGAGGAUGCAGUAGGAACAUUGUUUGUUGACUUUCUGGACCUGGGGACUCCAUCACCUCUCCCUGGAGAGGAGGGAAAGGGUAUCUGUGCUCAGUUUGGUUCAACACUGGAAUUUCAGGUAGAAAUUGCAGAUUGCAGCUGUUGAGGAAAGCUCACUCUGAAAAGAGAACAAUGCUGCUGAAAACCUUUGGGCUGCUUCUGUGGAGCUGGACCAUCGUGUGAGCUAACAAAUCGGCCUUGCAUUUUGUCUGAAAUCGGUGAAAUGGGCGAUGUUUUCAGAGAAUUUGUUCUUGGUGACUGCUGAAAAUCAACAGUUGACUUUUGGUGCAGCUGGAGUGUAGGUCAUCGAGCUGAACUCUCCUGUUUAAGGUAGUCCAGGGGGAAAGAUGCAGAGAUGGAGGUGGUGAGGUCAGGGUGAUAGAUAAAGGAUUAAAAAGGUUUUUUUGUCGCCGCCUUGGGUGUCACUACAGUGAAUUUCCACCUCAUGAGGGGCUAAAUCUGGAGCCUUAAACUAUCCAGAAACCCUGGACCAGAUGUCAAACCUGUGACCAGAUGUCAAACCUGGACCAGAUGUCAAACCUGUCCUAUCCAGGUGAGCACAGGGGGGCUGGAAACCCUCUCGUGGAAGUAAAACCUGAAAAAGCCCAAUUCUGUAGCAGGGCAUUAAUUGUGCAGCAGCAGAACCUCUGUCAGGUUUGCCCAGCAGAUGCCAGCAGUGAAUUAGAGCUUGUGGGAAAAUAAAAGGAGCUCAAUAUGUGACUGUUGCA
rnacentral:lncRNA from 1 species